UCCUGCCCAGUGACAUAGUUCAACGGCCGCGGUAUCCUAACCGUGCAAAGGUAGCAUAAUCACUUGCCCAUUAAUUGUGGGCUAGAAUGAAAGGACCAACGAAAUAAAAUCUGUCUCUAUAAGUAAAAUAAAAAUUAUUCUCUAACUGAAGAGUGUUAGAUAUUAUCGAAGGACAAGAAGACCCUAUAGAGCUUAAUUUUAAUAAAGACUUAAUCUUACUAAAAAUUCGGUUGGGGCGACCAAGGAUGUACAAAUCAUCCCUAAACAAAAGAUAUAUAAAUCUAAAAAUGACCCUUAACAAAGAUCAAAAGAACAAGCUACCUUAGGGAUAACAGGCUAAUCUCACUAAAGAGUCCUUAUCUACAGUGGGGGUUGGCACCUCGAUGUUGGCUUAGGGAAACUAUAGAGCGCAAAAGCCCUAUAAAGAUGGUUUGUUCAACCAAUAAAACCCUACAUGAGCUGAGUUCAGACCGGCGCAAGCCAGGUUAGUUUCUAUCCUCGAUUAAAAAUCUAUCUAUAGUACGAAAGGACCUACAUACGAAUAAAUAUUAUACAAAAAGAAUAAAUAUAAACUUUAAUAAACCUUUAUCAAUAUAUUCUAUA
rnacentral:rRNA from 1 species